rnacentral:misc_RNA from 1 species
GCAAUAUGACAUCAAUGUCAGGUGACUAGAACAAGCUUGAAAGGCUAAAGCAUCCUGUUCUUGAUGUCCGUAUAUAGGCAAUUAAUAACAAUUAACAAACUGAAAUAAAUUAAAGGACACUAGAAAAUAAACCAAAAUAAUUGAUACAACUCAUCAUCACCAUGAAGAAGUUAAAAGGAAAUAAACUAAAAUUUAUAAUUCACAACCUUUUUGACCCCAAAGCGGUAGUAAGAUCCAAGUUCCUCUAUUUUUAUUAAGAAAGCUAAAUGCUUUUGGAGUAAAUUCAUUUAGGUAUCAUGCGGAAAACCGCAACUUAGCUAAGCUCAUGACUAAGCAAAAAAACAGGUGAAUUUUCUUCUGGUUUUGAUAACAACAGGAGGUAGGAACUAAGAAAGAUGCAUCAAGCUUUAUAGAACAUUCAAGGGUCAAGUCCAACUAUAAAAUGUUGAGCCGCUUAGAAAACUUGUUUUUCAAAUCAAGAAGUCCUGUUGCUCCAUUAGGAUUUCAACAAGUGGCAAUAACAUGCCCUUUCUCAUUCAUUUCCAGAAGUUGUUUAACCUUGAACCACCACGUACUUCAGGGCCCAAAGUACCAGUGUCAAACAAGGAUAUUCAAGCAUAGGAAUGAUAUUUGACCCUUCAUAUUAGUAGGGAUUCUUAUGAAAUAUUGGAAAAUAGAUUGAGUUCAACACACAGACAGAUGCCCA